UACGUAGGGUGCAAGCGUUAAUCGGAAUUACUGGGCGUAAAGCGUGCGCAGGCGGUUUUGUAAGUCUGUCGUGAAAUCCCCGGGCUCAACCUGGGAAUUGCGAUGGAGACUGCAAGGCUAGAAUCUGGCAGAGGGGGGUAGAAUUCCACGUGUAGCAGUGAAAUGCGUAGAGAUGUGGAGGAACGCCGAUGGCGAAGGCAGCCCCCUGGGUCAAGAUUGACGCUCAUGCACGAAAGCGUGGGGAGCAAACAGG
rnacentral:rRNA from 1 species